UGUUAUUGGUGUCUUAAAAAGUGCGAACGAGGCCAUGACCAUCAUUUUCUUUGCUGGGUUGACAGACAAAUGUUGAUGAGUUUCACUGCAGUAUUUCCUAAAACAAGACACUUUUGUAACGUUAACUUAUUUUUGGAUGAGUCAGAUUUUUUAUUUCCUUUUUUUUAUGCUACAAAAAAAUUUGUAUUUUGCCAAAAGUGCCUUUGUUAUUUAGACAAAUAACUCCACGACUUUUUGGUCAAUGCAAAGUACGGAUACUGAGGUGCCUCUCACUCUUCGGGAUUUGUUUUGUGAAUGAAAACCAUAACAGCCUGUGCCUUAAGGACUGAAUGAGCUCACCAUCUGAGGCACUGAUGAACUCAAAUAGCAUACACACACACACACACACACACACACACACACACACACACACACACACACACACACACACACACACACACACACACACACACACACACACACACACACACACACACACACUCUGUUAGAAAACACCCAGCAGUAAUUCCCCGAAGGUAUUGUGCUUAUUUUGGCUGGAGUCUUCAUUUUGACUGUAAACCGAAGGCUGUUUUGUCUCAGUCAGCCUCUCGUUGCCGGCAGCUCAACAAUAACUGUUGGAUAUGUACAGUAGAUAAGCUGCCCUAACGUGAGCGGCAGAUCUACAAGCAGUCUCCGCCUUGUCCACAUGUCGGCCUUGGAUUUCAUUACCCAGCGAAGGAUUCCUUUCUUAUCGGGGCUAUUAGUUGCUGAAACGUGCCCAAACGCUCAGCUGGACCCGAAUGAAGUCACGUUCACCCACGCAGUGACACAGAAGUAUGUGGAUCUACAGGCAUGCUUUAAGGAGAAGUAUGCCAUAUCUGUUCCAACAGAAAACAAGAUGGUCUGGAGUGAAUGAAAAAAAGAAAAAGCCACCACCAGCUCCCCCACUCUUUUGAUCCUCAGCCCUCCCCAGCUGUUUAGCAUUACAUUCAAAUUGCUGUUUACAAGAAGCCAGAGGAUGGACUUAAAAGUUCUCCAUCCUCGCUUUUUUUUUCUUUUUUUUUACUUCAAAAAUAAUUUCAGUAUUAUGUAUUUGUCGGCCAAGCAAGUGUUCAAAGUAUUUGUUAUUGUCUGUCUCUAUAUGUGUGGCCGUUUUGUUUUUGAUCAGAACUUUGUACUUGGUUUCACUAAACCGUACCGCAUUAAGAGCUUCUUUUGUCAUCCAAUGGAAAGAAUCUCUUUUCUAGAAAGGACUUAUGUACGGUGCAUAUGUUAUAAACGUUUGCGGCAAACAAUGCCAAGUUCACAAACUGGGGAAAAUUGAGUUGGACCUACGGGAGAAACUCAAGUUGUCUCUCUAUGCUGACUUUUUAAUUUGAUGUAUGUCUUUUAUGUGUGCCAAAAUGUACACUCCUUCAUGCAUUGUGCAGUUUUUUUAUUUCUUGGACAAACACAUACUGCGUUUAUGGUCAAGGACUUUGAGAGGGAGUGAAGUUGCACAAAGUGACUUUUUGACCUUUUUUUAUGUUUUGAAUGUGCAAACUGUAAAAAGAAAGAAAGUUGCACUUAGAGUUAUUGGUUUUCAGUCAGAAAACACACAGCCUCCAUUGACGGUGUAUUUACAUAAAGGUGAAGAGAAGUAAAAGAAAUGAAGUACAAGCCUAUGUUAUUCCUGUUAGUGUUCCUAUGGAGGUAUAAUGAAAUCUAUCGCACUAGCCAAUCCCCAGGCACUAUUUGCUUAUGCAGUGGGGGUUGUGGGCUCCCACAUGUGUUUUUUAUACACCUGAUCCAGGCAGGGUAGCUGCGGGGCAGUGUCGGGCCCGCUCCUUGUGUUUCUAAUCGCACCUCUGAACCUUUGGACCACAACCCUCACACCUCACAUGAUACCCGCUCGCUGGGAAGAGAAAGAGCGAGGGUAGGAGGCUUCAGAGACAACAGAGCAGCCUUUGUUGUCCCUUUUAGCUGCAGUCACUCCACAACGACGACUCCAGUUCUAACAAAAGGGGUUUCCACGGCCAAGACUUUGGUACUGUACAUGCCUUUUUUUUUUCCAGCACAAGCCCUACUUCCACAACCAUGCUGACAAAUGGAAAGCAAUGGUAUGUAUUAAAGCCUAUAAAUUAUUAUUGCAGACUUUGUAAAAAAACAAAGUGGUGACCAUAGUUUGUUUUUUAUUGUUAAGUUAUAUAAAUUGAGAUUUUUGUUUUGUUUGUUUUGAUAGAGACUGGAUUUUCAAUCCAAUGACCAAAUGCAUAUCUCCAUGUAUUGUCCGAGUUGCUCUCAUGUACAAUUUCUUUUAUAACAACAGUUGGUCAAAGCAAAUAAUGAAUGAAUAAACCUCUGAAUGAAAUGAAAAA